UGAGGAAUAUUGGUCAAUGGGCGGGAGCCUGAACCAGCCAAGUCGCGUGAAGGAAGAAGGAUCUAUGGUUCGUAAACUUCUUUUGCAGGGGCAUAAAGUGCAGGACGUGUCCUGUUUUGUAUGUACCCUGAGAAUAAGGAUCGGCUAACUCCGUGCAAGCAGCCGCGGUAAUACGGAGGAUCCGAGCGUUAUACGGAUUUAUUGGGUUUAAAGGGUGCGUAGGCAGCGAUAUAAGUCAGUGGUGAAAUAUUUCGGCUUAACCGAGAGACUGCCAUUGAUACUGUGUUGCUAGAAUAUGGUUGCUGUGAGUGGAAUGUGUGGUGUAGCGGUGAAAUGCUUAGAUAUCACACAGAAGAUCGAUUGCGAAGGCAGCUCACAAAGCCAUUAUUGACGCUGAGGCACGAAAGUGUGGGGAUCAAACA
rnacentral:rRNA from 1 species